GAUGAACGCUGGCGGCGUGCCUAAUACAUGCAAGUCGAGCGAACAGACGAGGAGCUUGCUCCUCUGACGUUAGCGGCGGACGGGUGAGUAACACGUGGAUAACCUACCUAUAAGACUGGGAUAACUUCGGGAAACCGGAGCUAAUACCGGAUAAUAUAUUGAACCGCAUGGUUCAAUAGUGAAGGACGGUUUUGCUGUCACUUAUAGAUGGAUCCGCGCCGCAUUAGCUAGUUGGUAAGGUAACGGCUUACCAAGGCGACGAUGCGUAGCCGACCUGAGAGGGUGAUAGGCCACACGGGAACAGAGACACGGUCCAGACGCCUACGGGAGGAAGCAGUAGGGAAUAUGCCGCAAUGGGCGAAAGCAUGACGGAGCAAAGCCGCGUGAGUGAUGAAGGUCUUCGGAUCGUAAAACUCUGUUAUUAGGGAAGAACAAAUGUGUAAGUAACUAUGCACGUCUUGACGGUACCUAAUCAGAAAGCCACGGCUAACUACGUG
rnacentral:rRNA from 1 species